GGAGAGGUGCUGGAGUGGUUGAACAGGCCGCUCUCGAAAAGCGGUAGGCCUUUCAUGGGUCUCGCGAGUUCGAAUCUCGCCCUCUCCGCCA
rnacentral:tRNA from 1 species